AACGAACGCUGGCGGCAUGCCUAACACAUGCAAGUCGAACGAGACCUUCGGGUCUAGUGGCGCACGGGUGCGUAACGCGUGGGAAUCUACCCUUGGGUUCGGAAUAACUCAGAGAAAUUUGAGCUAAUACCGGAUGAUGACGUAAGUCCAAAGAUUUAUCGCCCAAGGAUGAGCCCGCGUAGGAUUAGGUAGUUGGUGAGGUAAAGGCUCACCAAGCCGACGAUCCUUAGCUGGUCUGAGAGGAUGAUCAGCCACACUGGGACUGAGACACGGCCCAGACUCCUACGGGAGGCAGCAGUGGGGAAUAUUGGACAAUGGGCGAAAGCCUGAUCCAGCAAUGCCGCGUGAGUGAUGAAGGCCUUAGGGUUGUAAAGCUCUUUUACCCGGGAUGAUAAUGACAGUACCGGGAGAAUAAGCUCCGGCUAACUCCGUGCCAGCAGCCGCGGUAAUACGGAGGGAGCUAGCGUUGUU
rnacentral:rRNA from 1 species